rnacentral:rRNA from 1 species
UCUUCGGCAAUGGACGAAAGUCUGACCGAGCAACGCCGCGUGAGUGAUGACGGUUUUCGGAUUGUAAAACUCUGUUGUUAGGGAAGAACAAGUACCGUUUGAAUAAGGCGGUACCUUGACGGUACCUAACGAGAAAGCCCCGGCUAACUACGUGCCAGCAGCCGCGGUAAUACGUAGGGGGCAAGCGUUGUCCGGAAUUAUUGGGCGUAAAGCGCGCGCAGGCGGUCUCUUAAGUUUGAUGUGAAAGCCCACGGCUCAACCGUGGAGGGUCAUUGGAAACUGGGGGACUUGAGUGUAGGAGAGGAAAGUGGAAUUCCACGUGUAGCGGUGAAAUGCGUAGAUAUGUGGAGGAACACCAGUGGCGAAGGCGACUUUCUGGCCUAUAACUGACGCUGAGCGCGAA